rnacentral:rRNA from 1 species
CCUACGGGAGGCAGCAGUGGGGAAUAUUGCACAAUGGGGGAAACCCUGAUGCAGCGACGCCGCGGGAGUGAAGAAGGAUUUCGGUAUGUACAGCUCUAUCAGCAGGGAAGAGAAUGACGGUACCUGAGUAAGAAGCCCCGGCUAACUACGUGCCAGCAGCCGCGGUAAUACGGAGGAUGCGAGCGUUAUCAGGAUUUAUUGGGUUUAAAGGGUGCGUAGGCGGAAUGUUAAGUCAGCGGUAAAAGCCCGGAGCUCAACCCCGGCGAGCCGUUGAACCUGGCUGUCUUGAGAUGUCGAGAGGUAUGCUGAAGGCGCAGUGUAGCGGUGAAAUGCUUAGAUAUUGCGCAGAACUCCGAUUGCGAAGGCAGCAUACCGGCGGCGAUCUGACGCUGAGGCACGAAAGCGUGGGUAUCGAACAGGAUUAGAUACCCGGGUAGUC